rnacentral:tRNA from 1 species
CGGGGCGUGGCUCAGCUGGCUAGAGCGCUCGGUUCGGGACCGUGAGGUCACUGGUUAAAAUCCAGUCGCCCCGA